CGCGACUAGGUUCAUGCGGUCCUGGACCUCGGUCUCUGGUGUCUGGCCUGGGGCUGGGGAUGAGAGCGGGGAAGGUGGUAGCUCCCCGAGAAGGAGCGGCGGGACGCGUGUGGCCGGGAGUGCUGAGACCCAGGGUGUCUGUUUUCAAGGCACUGACUUUGGGGAUUGCUCCGGAUUUCCCUCCGCAGAAGGCCGAACCUGAGUGGAUGGCUGGCAUUCAGCAUACUGCUUAAGAAGAGCCUGGGGAAUGGAAUUAAGCCUUGGGCAUGUUGGUAUGUGUUAAUUUAUAAGGCAGUAUUAAAAAUUCCAUUUGAAU
rnacentral:lncRNA from 1 species